GCAUAUCAUUAAGCGGAGGA
rnacentral:rRNA from 1 species